rnacentral:lncRNA from 1 species
UUCUGCACCGAGCUCAUCCUAGGUACACUUCAAAUCUUCAUUAGAUUAAUACUCACUGUUCUGUAGAUUGCUAUGUUUGCGUAGAUAGAUUUACUCUGAGUUUCCGAAGCUCUAGCUAAAUCAGAUUGUAACAUCCCAAUUUUUAAAACCCUCCAUAUGCAUUUUAUUUCAUAAGCAUCAUGUCACCUUUGCAUUUAGUCACAUUUAAAACACUAAAGUUUAACUCAGAAAAACCCAUUAACAAUGUUGUUUUUAUUUGCAUCUGGCUUUUUACCCAUCUUUUGUUAAUUGCAUUUUAACCCAUGAGGGUUUUGGCAUGAAAAGGGGUUUAAUGCAAUAAAGAUGCUACCCCAUAUAUUGGUAUUUGAAUUGGAUUUGAAACUCUAAAUAUUUUAAUAGCUAAAAAGCUCUAAAGGCAAGUUUAUAGGAAAAAGUAUUUUUAAAUAUUUUAUUUUGAGGGAAUUCUUGUCCCAAAAGUUUAAUCAUAUGAAGAUAUGAUUUUACAAUUUUUGUUGCAUUUUAUUUGACUCGAUUUGAAGCUUUAAAUCAAAAGAUAGAAUCAAAAACAGAAAAUAAGAAAAAAAAAAGAAAAAAAAAGGGGGUAAUGGACUGACUCCAAUCGGGCCGGCCCACUUACCUGAGCGCUGCGGCCCAUCUCCACAGCCCGUGCCCCGUGUGCUGCCGCUGCCCCCGACAGGUAGGACCCACCGGUCGGGCUCAUCUUCAACCUCCAAUGACUGCCCCUAUUUCUCUGGCACGAACCCGAGCGUGCGUCUACGAUCCCCACACCCGAUUUCUCCUCGCCCACUCCACCAUACUCGAAGCUAUCCGCGUCACUUUAAAGCACCUCGACCCCGCAUCCUUUCCCCUCUCUUGCUCGACCAUUUCCACGCUGCCAGGCCGCCCAAAAAGCUCGCCGGAGAAGCCACUGCCGCCGCCGACCCGGUGAGACAAAAUCGCGACUACCUACCUCUCCUUUUUCCCCUCAUCUUUGCUGACUUUGUGAGGUGCUCCGUUUAAUUUUUGGAGCCCCGUAGCUCGCCGUCGACUCCAACCCAAAGUAACCGCUGAUGCCGUUGAGUUCUCGAGGACGAAGCGCACACCUCCGCCCGAACCGAGGAUCGCCAGCGCCGCCAUCUUCUUCGCCUCUUCGCUCCGCCCCUCCCCAACUUCUUCUCGAGCUCGAACGAUCAUCGGAACACCCGCGCUUCCACCGCCCGAGCCGCUGCCACCGCUCGAGCUCACCGGAGCCAACCCUAGCCGGAGU